UACCAGCACCCCCGAGUGGUCGGGACGUUUAUUGGGCCUAAAGCAUCCGUAGCCGGUUCUACAAGUCUUCCGUUAAAUCCAACUGCUUAACAGGUGGGCUGCGGAAGAUACUAUAGAGCUAGGAGGCGGGAGAGGCAAGCGGUACUCGAUGGGUAGGGGUAAAAUCCGUUGAUCCAUUGAAGACCACCAGUGGCGAAGGCGGCUUGCCAGAACGCGCUCGACGGUGAGGGAUGAAAGCUGGGGGGAGCAAACCGG
rnacentral:rRNA from 1 species